rnacentral:rRNA from 1 species
UGGGGAAUUUUGCACAAUGGGCGCAAGCCUGAUGCAGCGACGCCGCGUGAGGGAUGAAGGCCUUCGGGUUGUAAACCUUUUUCGCUCAUGGUCAAGCCGCAGCUUUGGGUUGUGGUGAGGGUAGUGGGUAAAGAAGCGCCGGCUAACUACGUGCCAGCAGCCGCGGUAAUUCGUAGGGCGCGAGCGUUGUCCGGAAUUAUUGGGCGUAAAGGGCUUGUAGGCGGUUGGCCGCGUCUGCCGUGAAAUCCUCUGGCUUAACUGGGGGCGUGCGGUGGGUACGGGUUGACUUGAGUGCGGUAGGGGAGACUGGAAUUCCUGGUGUAGCGGUGGAAUGCGCAGAUAUCAGGAGGAACACCGGUGGCGAAGGCGGGUCUCUGGGCCGUUACUGACGCUGAGGAGCGAAAGCGUGGGGAGCGAACAGG